CGGGGCGUGGCUCAGCUUGGUUUAGAGCGCAGCGUUCGGGACGCUGAGGUCGACGGUUCAAGUCCGUCCGCCCCGACCA
rnacentral:tRNA from 1 species